UAGUUGCAGUCAAAUCUGGAACGAUUAUUUUAGAUGAAUGUGAUAAUUUGUUACUUAUUUACUCUUAUUCACUUCAGCUUUGGGUGGUUUCAAGCAACUAUCUGCUACACAAGAGGCUUGGCUGUCAGACUUGCAUGACGGACUAACACAGAGGAAAAAUCUUGUGUCCCGCUUCUCAGAUCGGUCAUAAUCCAAGAUAAAACGGAACAGAUCUGUCAAGACGUUAAAAUGUUCUCUUGAGAGAAGCUUUGGGGAUAACAGAAGCAUACAGAAUCAGAAACAAACCGUUGCUAUGGUUGGCCAUGUUCAAAGUCAGACAUUCAACAACAAAUGGAGAUGUUCCACAUUGAAUCAGAGAAUGCAGGAAUGGAAUCUAAUAUCCCACGGGUAUGGAAGGAAGGUGGCCAGAUAAAACGAUAUGGAAACUGAGGUUCAGAACACUGAUGGAAAAGAUCCACCAGAGGCCGCUGGGACGAGAUCAAACACUUAAUCAAGAACUGGACAACGUACUGAAGGACAGGGGAUCGUAGAAAAGGACAACUGCGCAAAUUAUACACGGUGGGUGGCAGGCUGUGAUGGAAUACCUGGCCAACCACAAGGCGGACUUAUCUAUGCUAGACAUAGAGAUACCAGGGUUUCAAGUCGUUGAG